rnacentral:tRNA from 1 species
GGGAAGAUGGCUCAGUGGUAGAGCGCUUGCCUUGCAUGCAUGAAGCCCUGGGUUCGAUUCCUCAGUACCA